rnacentral:lncRNA from 1 species
AGCAACUGUCGAUAGCACUGAAUCGAGAAGAUUGCGACCCAAUUGAGGUCGCUGUAGAAGUGACAUUCACCCCACAGUGUCUCCCUCAGCCGAAGUUGAUGGGGCUACAGAGGACAGCGGGGCCACGGAGGCAUUUGUCGGCUUGCGGCUCGGCUCCUUGGGAGAAGGUGUAGGUCAAAAAUUAUUCUUUUUUCUUAUCUCGAUUGUUUGGCG